GUCUACUUACCCCAGAAAGGGAUCCCACCACACCACAAAGUACAAUACAGAUCCCAUUGAAGUUCAACUUGGGAAACAACUCUGUUUUCAUUCCUGCCGAUGUCCUGAGAUGUGACUGAGAGUGAACCUAGAAGUGAAGGCCUGCUGUGUUUGGCAGAGGAAACUCCAAGGGAAGAUGGCAGACUUUCAGACUGGCAAGUGCUCACCGUCUUAUUUAGAGAAAGAGCAGGAAGUCGAAAACUGUGAAUGUCUUGUUUUAGGGACAGCAGAAAAGGUGUGCGGAAGGCAAGAUCCCACCCAUUGAAGGCUCAGACUUGGGAAAAUGCAAGAUCAUUUGAAAAGAGAA